GAGGUGGUAGCUCAGGGCUAGAGUGCAUGCUUUGUAUAUAUAAUGUCCUGGGUUCAAUCACCAGCUUCUCCC